rnacentral:rRNA from 1 species
AUUGAGCGCUGGCGGCAGGCCUAACACAUGCAAGUCGAGCGGAUGAGUGGAGCUUGCUCCAUGAUUCAGCGGCGGACGGGUGAGUAAUGCCUAGGAAUCUGCCUGGUAGUGGGGGACAACGUUUCGAAAGGAACGCUAAUACCGCAUACGUCCUACGGGAGAAAGUGGGGGAUCUUCGGACCUCACGCUAUCAGAUGAGCCUAGGUCGGAUUAGCUAGUUGGUGAGGUAAAGGCUCACCAAGGCGACGAUCCGUAACUGGUCUGAGAGGAUGAUCAGUCACACUGGAACUGAGACACGGUCCAGACUCCUACGGGAGGCAGCAGUGGGGAAUAUUGGACAAUGGGCGAAAGCCUGAUCCAGCCAUGCCGCGUGUGUGAAGAAGGUCUUCGGAUUGUAAAGCACUUUAAGUUGGGAGGAAGGGCAGUAAGUUAAUACCUUGCUGUUUUGACGUUACCAACAGAAUAAGCACCGGCUAACUUCGUG